rnacentral:misc_RNA from 1 species
CACGUAGGAUCCAAGCGUUAUCCGGAUUUACUGGGCGUAAAGCGCGUGCAGGUGGUUUGCUAAGUUGGGUGUUAAAGCUCCUGGCUCAACUGUGAGUUGUCGCUAAAAACUAGCAGACUAGAGGAUGGUAGAGGGAGGUGGAAUUCCGGUUGUAGUGUGAAAUGCGUAGAUAUCCGGAGGAACACCAGUGGCGGAGGCGGCCUCCUGGCCCAUUCCUGACACUCAGACGCGAAAGCUAGGGUAGCAAACGGG